CUACGGAGGAUCCGAGCGUUAUCCGGAUUUAUUGGGUUUAAAGGGUGCGCAGGCGGCCAUUUAAGUCAGCGGUUAAAUCGUGGGGCUCAACCCCAUUCUGCCGUUGAUACUGGGUGGCUUGAUUGCGGUCGAGGUUGGCGGAAUUCGUUGUGUAGCGGUGAAAUGCAUAGAUAUGACGAAGAACACCGAUUGCGUAGGCAGCUGACCAGAUCGCAAAUGACGCUCAGGCACGAAGGCGUGGGGAUCAAACAGGAUUAGAUACCCUGGUAGUCCACGCAGUAAACGAUGAUUACUCGCUGUUUGCGAUACACAGCAAGCGGCUUAGCGAAAGCGUUAAGUAAUCCACCUGGGGAGUACGUUCGCAAGAAUGAAACUCAAAGGAAUUGACGGGG
rnacentral:rRNA from 1 species